UACGUAGGCGGAAAAUUAAGUCAGUAGUGAAAUCCCGCAGCUUAACUGUGGAACUGUUAUUGAUACUGGUUUUCUUGAAUAUAGUUGAGGUAGGCGGAAUAUGUAAUGUAGCGGUGAAAUGCUUAGAUAUUACACAGAACACCGAUUGCGAAGGCAGCUUACUAAGCUAUGAUUGACGCUGAGGUACGAAAGCGUGGGGAGCGAACAGGAUUAGAUACCCUGGUAGUCC
rnacentral:rRNA from 1 species